GACAGAGGGUGCAACCGUUGUUCGGAAUUACUGGGCGUAAAGCGCGUGUAGGCUGCUUGGCAAGUCGGAUGUGAAAGCCCUGGGCUCAACCCAGGAAGUGCAUUCGAAACUUCCGAGCUCGAGUUCUGGAGAGGAUAGCGGAAUUCUCGGUGUAGAGGUGAAAUUCGUAGAUAUCGAGAGGAACACCGGUGGCGAAGGCGGCUAUCUGGACAGAAACUGACGCUGAGACGCGAAAGCGUGGGGAGCAAACAGG
rnacentral:rRNA from 1 species